rnacentral:rRNA from 1 species
UACGGAGGAUGCGAGCGUUAUCCGGAUUUAUCGGGUUUAAAGGGUGCGUAGGCGGGCUGUUAAGUCAGCGGUAAAAGCCCGGGGCUCAACCCCGGCGAGCCGUUGAAACUGGCUGUCUUGAGAUGUCGAGAGGUAUGCGGAAUGCGCAGUGUAGCGGUGAAAUGCUUAGAUAUUGCGCAGAACUCCGAUUGCGAAGGCAGCAUACCGGCGGCGAUCUGACGCUGAGGCACGAAAGCGUGGGUAUCGAACAGG